UUGCCCUAGUACGGCGAGUGAAGCGGCAACAGCUCAAAUUUGAAAUCUGGCGCCUGCGCCCGAGUUGUAAUUUGCAGAGGAUGCUUCUGGCAAAGCGCCUACCAAGUUCCCUGGAACGGGACGCCACAGCAGGUGAGAGCCCUGUACGGUUGGUUGCUGCGCCGUUGUGAAGCGCCUUCGACGAGUCGAGUAGUUUGGGAAUGCUGCUCUAAAUGGGAGGUAAACUCCUUCUAAAGCUAAAUACUGGCCAGAGACCGAUAGCGCACAAGUAGAGUGAUCGAAAGAUGAAAAGCACUUUGAAAAGAGAGUCAAACAGCACGUGAAAUUGUUGAAAGGGAAGCGCUUGUGACCAGACUUGGGCUUGGUAGUUCAGCCGUCCUUCUGGGCGGUGCAUUCUGCCGGUUCAGGCCAGCAUCAGUUGCCGGUCGGGGAGAAAGAUGGCGGGAACGUGGCUCUUCGGAGUGUUAUAGCCCGCCAUUAUGCCCUUCUGGCGACUGAGGUUAGCGCACUGCACGGAUGCUGGCAUAAUGGUCAUCAGCGACCCGUCUUGAAACACGGACCAAGGAGUCAUCGUAAUAUGCGAGUGUUUGGGUGUCAAACCCCUACGCGAAAUGAAAGUGAACGGAGGUGAGAGCUUCGGCGCAUCAUCGACCGAUCCUGAUGUUCUCGGAUGGAUUUGAGUAAGAGCAUAUUGCGCUGGACCCGAAAGAAGGUGAACUAUGCUUGGAUAGGGCAAAGCCAGAGGAAACUCUGGUGGAGGCUCGCAGCGGUUCUGACGUGCAAAUCGAUCGUCAAAUCUGAGCAUGGGGGCGAAAGACUAAUCGAACCUUCUAGUAGCUGGUUUCCGCCGAAGUUUCCCUCAGGAUAGCAGUGCUGAUCUCAGUUUUAUGAGGUAAAGCGAAUGAUUAGGGACUCGGGGGCGCUAUUUAGCCUUCAUCCAUUCUCAAACUUUAAAUAUGUAAGAAGCCUUUGUUGCUUUAGUGAACGAAGGCAUUAGAAUGUACAGCACUAGUGGGCCAUUUUUGGUAAGCAGAACUGGCGAUGCGGGAUGAACCGAACGCGAGGUUAAGGUGCCGGAGUGGACGCUCAUCAGACACCACAAAAGGUGUCGUCACAUCUUGACAGCAGGACGGUGGCCAUGGAAGUCGGAAUCCGCUAAGGACUGUGUAACAACUCACCUGCCGAAUGUGACGGCCCUGAAAAUGGAUGGCGCUCAAGCGUCCCACCCAUACCUCGCCCUCAGGGCAGAACUACGCCCUG
rnacentral:rRNA from 1 species